AGGUGCGAUCACACCAACACUAAUAUAUCGGAUCCCAUCGGAAGUCUGCAGUUAAGAAUUCUUGGGCGAGAGUAGUACUUGGAUGGGUGACCUCCUGGGAAGUCCUCCUGUUGCACCUC
rfam:Lupinus angustifolius cultivar Tanjil contig_4178, whole genome shotgun sequence.